GACGACCAUUGGAAUGUCUGUGCGUAGAAGUGCUUUGCAGAUCGAUUGAGUGUGGGAAGGAAGCUAGCCGGGCGUAGUUUCUGGAGAAGAUCUGGAAUCUGACAGUAGUGGCGAGGCAUUAGCUAUUUUGGAUGCUCCAUUCCAACAGGCUGGAAUUUCGAGUGGUAGCAGUUUGCAGGGCAUAAUAGUCGCAGGAGAAGCGCCCGAGUCGGACGAGGAACGCGCGGAACCUGGUACUGUGAGCAGCAUCAGUAGUGCAGCCAGUAUUUCUUCAGAAUCUUCGCUGACAGCAGAUGUGAAGGAAGGAUAUAAGGGAAAGGAAUCAGAAAGCAAAUAUAGCUGAUUGCUGCAUAAAAAAUUGUAUUAAUAAAUUCAGAUGUGGUCGGACAAGCACUGAAGACGAAGCGUGCUCCAUCUGUCCAGUUGUGGUCACUACAAAGGAAAUCGACAAAAUCCGUGGUAGGGUAAUGCAAGACCAGAAGCUGUGUGCAAGGUGAAUAGCUUGUUUGGAGUCAUUAACCACAAGUGACCAUGAGCUCUUCUGCAACAAUCACUGGCCAUGCCAACGUGGAUGCAGUUACAUCCCCACUGCACAAUAUGCUGCCCCAUGAUGUAUCAGCACUCCCAGAUGCUUAAAUUCUCUGGAGAGCUUGUAUUGUUAGUGCUGCUGGAAAUGAAAACUCAUAUCAUGUUUCACAGAAUCUAAAUUAAAAUCAUAUUUCCUAAUAUGUUCAGUGAUGAGAAUUUUCCUAUAAAAUUAUGCAUCAGUGUAAAUGUAACACAGCACUCAGCAACAGCUGUUCCAAUGCUGUAGCACUCAGUAUAACUUUGGCUGGCAGCACUAAAAUAUAAAACACCAACAGCCCAGUGUCUGCUGAAAUCUACAGAUUCAGGUAGUCAAGGUAGGAAAAAUGUUACACACUAUAAAAUACUUAAAUAGCUUGAAGCUAGCACACAUCUUGGUUUGUUUGCAUGCAAAUCUUCAUAUCAUUAACUCAUCAUGUGGAAGGUUGGUCAACACUUUCUCAAAUCCUCUUGUUCUGCCAUGAUUCUUGCAUCGUGUCCAUUCAAGUAGCAUCUACAGGAUCAGUUCUUAUUUGCUUUACUCUAGUGCACACUGACAAUGUCAACUGCUAAAGAGCAUAUAUGCAAAAAGUUGAACCUUGUUAUAACUGAAAAUCUUCAAAUACAUACAGGCUGUGGCGUUGAAGGAAAGAUCUGUCAGUGCUUUCUAGUGAUUGUUCGUAACUAAAUGAAGUGCUCAUAACAUGCGAAAUGUAUAAAAUAUAUCAUUGCAAACAAACUUCAAGUUAUUAUUUUGUGACCUUUAACAAAACAAAUAUUUCAUAAAAUAUGAAGAGCUAUAUUUAAUUAAAGUCACAAUUUUUGAAUGAUGUACAGAUUUUGUUCAGUCAGUCAGUUUCUUGGCUUUUGUCGUAGCAUCAUAUAACAGUUAAGAGAUUUUUAAUAGCACAAAAAUGUGCUUUGUAAUGCUACAUAAAUUAAUUGGAAAGAGAAUACUGCUAAUCACUAACCAACUAGAAAACUGGUGUUGCUAUUAAAAGGGUUACAUGAUAAAAUCACAUCAACUUUGAUCCCUCUCCCAUUUUCUAUAAAGCAGAAAAUUAAUUUGACAUUGCAACCACCUGCUCAGUACAACAUUGGUGUCCACCUUAGGAAUGCUUUGCGAAAAUAAUUGUGCUGACAUGAACUCCACAAGUGCUUGAUAUAGGUUUCUGGAUGUAUGUGACACCAGAUGUUUUAUCACAGGUAAUGCAAUUAUUAUCAAUUAUGGGCCAGUCGUUAGUGACCAAGGAGCGAGUGCAUGAUAGUGUAGCAUGUGUGUUCCGUGCAGUUCAGAUCAGUCGAAUUUGGUGGUUAAGGACAUCAACAUGAAUUCGCUAUUGUGCUCCUCAAAGUACUGUAACAUUCGACAUAAGUUUUCUGGGUAUGGUACCAUGUCAUAAUGUAUAAAACUACUGCUGCUGGAGAAAAACCAACAUUUCGGCCACGGUUGCAGCGGCCUCCUUCCGGGUAUACUGGUGCACAUAUAGGCCCAGAAGAAGGCUGCUGCAACUGUGGCUGAAACGUUGGUUUGUCUCCAGCAGCAGUUGUUUUAUACAUUAUGACACGGUACCAUACCCAGAAAACUUAUGUCAACUGACUCAGGCUGCGGAAGCCUACACAAUUAUAUUACUGUAGCAUUGUUCUGUCUUGUAACGUGGACAGUUAUCGUGUGCUGGUAGAUGUGAUUGCUGUCAGGCCAGACACCAAUUCUGAAGGGAUGCAAGUAGUCUGCAACAAUGUUCAAGAGGUCCACAGCCACCAUGGUAUCUUCGAUUACUAGCACACUUCCCUUUAAAGCUGAGCCAAAUGUGCACCACAGCAUAAUACUGCCCCCCACCAGCUUGUGUCCAUGCAGUGUGUGUUUCGAGCAGCUGGUUACCUAGAUACCAAUAUUUCUGAAAGUGGCCAUCUACAUGGUGUAACAAGAAAUGUGAUUUCUCUGGCUAUGUGACAUGUUUCUGUUGGUCCAUUUUAAACCUCCAUGACCUAGUGCCCACUGCAGUCGUAAUUGACUAUUUCAUUGGGUCAGCAUGGCAACAUGUAAAGGUUGUCUGCUGUGGAGACCCAUGAUCAACAAUGUGCUGUGAUUGGUGAGUUCGGAAACACUUGUCUGCAGCAGCAGCAGCAGUAUUGUACUCUGUUGUCAUCUGUUGCCAGAUAUGCCACCUGUCAUGCUGUUAAGAUUGUGUGUUGAGUUAUGAUGUGUUUAUGUGGUACAACUUCUCAGCUACUUGUGAUUUCACUGUCCUUAGACUUGUUCACAGAUGCUCAGAAAAGUAGCAUGCAGACAGCCUUUCAGCUUCGUUAUUUUCUAAAUGCUCAUUCCCAGGCACCAGGUGAGAACUGGACUACUCCAGUUGGGACUGUAUGUGUACAUGUGGUUUUAAUGUUUUUACUUAUAUUUACUGUACUGAAGAUGGCCACACAGUGACUGAAAUCUGAAUUUGCAAUAAAUGUUGUU